CCGAUCCAUCAGUCCCGAUCUCCCAAUGUGAGGAGCAGAGAGGAGCCAUCUGUUCCAUCCAGGCGGCGGGUGUCGCUCGAUUGGAUCCGUGCGGGAUGGACCGAGGCAAAUCUAUGCGUGCGCUGGAAGCCUGGGAUCGACCGGAGGAGCCGGAUCCAGGUCAAGGCGAUGCAGUCCAACGCGCGAGGGGAUGAGCGGAGGCGAAGCAUCAGCAGACUGUUCGGUGACGAAGGCGAGUGAAACUGAUCUGCCGGGACUUAAUGAGGCAAUCAAUCAUCAGUUUCUGGAGUCAUUCAUCGCGGAUCAGUUUGUAUUAUCUAAAUGCUGAAUGGAGCAGUAGGACGUCACCGUCACGCAGCCAUGGUGCUUGGCUAGGUAGUGUUCAUCCUCCUUGUGGUCGAUUCAUUCAGGAUUUUUGGUGUAUCCUAUUCGUUGGAUGGUCCGAUGAUCUGGAUAAAUGACGGAGAACCACCACCUUCCCGGCGAUCUGGAUAAGCACCAUGGUACCUCCUCCGCUUCCCUUCACGGUCUUGACCCAUCUCGAUAAGGUGAGGCGCUCCUGGCGGCGUGGGGAAAGAGUUGAAGCUGGAGUCAUCGAUGGCGGGGCAGGGACCGCGGUGCGGUAGGAAGGGAAGGUUAGGGCGGUGGGUUCGCGUUAAUAUCGUGCUAGAGCUGUCGUUGUGGCUGCAAGGCAGCCGGCGCUGAUGCAGUCCACUACGACCUCCGACUGCUCCUCGGCAUCAUGCGCGUGCCCCUCGCGCCCGUGCAUGUGUGUGCCGCUCAGCCUCUGUCGCACCUCAGCAUUAAGGACAGUACAAUCACAAUUGCUGCUCCUUCAUGCUAUUAGAUUUUCCCCUUUUGCUCUAGGUUUUGCUGAGUCGUGUGUUGGACGAACUGCUCAAUUCUUCUUUGAUGUAUAUGUCUGAGUUCUGUUCUUAAAUUCAUGGCAUGCAUACUAUAUAAACUUUAUUUCUCAUGAUUGUAAUGAUGUAGGAGAAUAAGAAGGGAGCUCGUUAGGGCAGGGCCAUGGUGAGGCUGCAGCCCAACAAUGGCGUACAUUGGUGUUCAUUAUACUGAUUGUUCAUUAUAGGGAGAAGCUUUCCUUCAUAUUCCUUGAACUGACCAGAGAUAGCAUUCAUGAUGGAAAGUGGACAAGACGGCCACAGUGUGUGUGCGUGUUCCAUUCUUUGCUCUAGGCAAGUCUCUCUUCCCAAUCCCAGUUAACUCAUAAGUUGUCUCUGCAAAUAAUUCAGGCUUUGAUUCUUCGUCAUGUGUUCGAUGCAAUGGACAGCAGGUUUCAUUGUACUCAGUGGUCUCUACUUUCUGUAGGUGAGGAGCAUAACAUGGCUAUAGCUGAUUCCAAGUGUCAUGUCGUUAACCUUAAUAUUGCAUCAUUGGUAUUGAUGUUCAUGUGAAGCUUAUCGUAAAACAUGCUCCCUCGUUUCAAAUUACUCGUCGUGGUUUUAGUUAGUAUGUCUCAGGUACAGGCAUGUUGGCUUGAGAAGCAUCAGAACUAAAGCUUGAAUAUAAGCAAGUAGGAUUCUAAUAACGUCUAUAUUCUGUGAGGUCGACCUGGUUUCAUACUACUUAAUUAACUCAUUGUGUACCAUACCCCUGGCGGCGGUGCCCAUGACUUCAGUCCUCACAUGUCACACGCUGCAACUUCUGCCGGCUCACUAUCUUCACCUUAUUGGAGUACUUACCAAACUCACAGAACCACAAUAAGCUCCUCAAGGUGCCCCUCCUGUUUCUUCUCCCCUCUAUGUUUAGUCCCUGAUACUAAGGUUUAGUAGAGACGACGCUAAAGUCCAUGUACUUGUAUAUGCUUCUUAGAAUAUCCCAAGUACUCAUAUGUAUGUUGAUGUUCAGCAUAUUGCUGCAGACUUCUUGCAUUAUCAUAUAAAGUUUCUGUUAUCAACCUUGUCCUACUAAAUAUAAUUGUACUCAACAAAAAAUUAUACCAUGUGAAAAUAUGCUUGUAUAUUACUUACAGCAUAUGACUUUUACUGUUUGUCCCCACCAAAUGAUAAGAUUUAAUGAGUACAACAUGUACAUCUAUUUCUCUCAGCAUAUGUUUACCCAUAUGCAUGUUGAUGUUCAGCAUUUUGCUGCAGACUUGCUGCAUCAUCAUAUAAGUUUUUGUUAUCACCCUGUCUUACUAAAUGUAAUUGUAUUGGUUCGGGAAUAGUAGGGUGAUGGUCCUGGCAAACAAUGGAACUUAACACUGUGCAUUAUUAAUCUUAGUUGCAUGCACAUCCCUGAGAAGCUCAGCAAAAAUUAUACCAUGUGAAAAUAUUCUUGUAUAAUAAUUUAUAGUAUAUAUAUGACUUUCACUGUUUGUGCCCAGCAAAUGAUCAGAGUUAAUAUGUACAACAACUACAUCUAUCCUUCUCGGCAUAUAUUUGUUAUUUUCAUGAUGAGUUUGUCAUGACUAGACGUUUGAUUACUCUUGUAUGGAAUGAAACAGAGGUUGAGGCUGUUUUUGUAGGCUGAGUUUGUAGUAUGAGCAUGGCAGUCACAAAUUAUAUACAUGUUGAGUUCGAGCUUAAUAACUUGGUCUUGAUGCUGAUGGCUAAAUAUGAUACUUUAAUAUCGAAGGUGUCGAAGAACUAUGUGGCAAGCAAUGACAGAGUUGAUCUGAAGGUAGAUGGUAGUUGUGGAGGUCAGUUUGGUACUUACUAUAUAAGUUAUUUUCUUUCACUUGACUUGGGAAAUUGCCAAAACUUGCGGUAAGUUCUCACUUUUUAUGACAUGAUAAGAAUAGUAAAUCAGGUGCGAUCAAGGCUUCAACUAUUAAGAUUCCAAUUAGAUGUGGAUGCGGUAAAAUAAUGAAAAUGUGCAUCUUGUGAUGGGACAUAGCAAACAGCUGCCAUCUGCCAUAAGAACCAACCUUGGAAUCCUAGCUGAUUAGAAUCUGCGCUUUGUGAAGUAGACAUAUUUACAAAUCUCUUUCACUGUACUAUUCUCCUAAGAACAAGUAUUGGUGCUCUGUUUUGUUUUGCUAUCCAGAAAAUUUAGUUUGUUGUCGUUCUUAAUUUCCAAUCAACUCAUUUUGCAUUCAA